UUUACCCACACCUUAAACCGCCCGGGAAUUACGAGCCCAAGCUUAAAACCCAAAGGACUUGACGGUGCCCCACCCACCUAGAGGAGCCUGUUCUAUAAUCGAUUCCCCCCGAUUCACCUUACCACUUCUAGCCUCUCAGCCUGUAUACCUCCGUCGUAAGCUUACCAUGUGAACGACACUAGUGGGCCAAAAGAUUAACCAUCAACACGUCAGGUCAAGGUGCAGCUAACGAAAUGGAAAGCAAUGGGCUACAGUUUCUAACCUAGAACAAACGAAAGACUACAUGAAACAUAGUCAUGAAGGCGGAUUUAGCAGUAAAAAGAAAAUAGAGUGUUCUUUUUAAUCAGGCGCUGGGACGCGUACACACCGCCCGUCACCCUCUUCAAAUGCAUAACAACAGUCUUUAACCCCCCCCCCGCACACCAGAAGAGGUAAGUCGUAACACGGUAAGCGUACUGGAAAGUGCGCU
rnacentral:rRNA from 1 species